rnacentral:snRNA from 1 species
GUCAUUUCGGCAGCACAGAUAGUACAAUUGGAAUGACACAGAGGAGGUUAGCAUGACCCCUGAACAAGGAUGACACACAAAUUUGUGUGAAGUAUUCCAUUUGC